rnacentral:rRNA from 1 species
GUCUACGGCCAUGCUACCCUGAAUGUGCCCGAUCUCAUCUGAUCUCAGAAGCUAAGCAGGGUUGGGCCUGGUUAAUACUGGGAUGAAAGACCAGGUGCUGUAGGCC